GAUGAACGCUAGCUACAGGCUUAACACAUGCAAGUCGAGGGACCGGCGCACGGGUGAGUAACACGUAUCCAACCUGCCCUUUACUCGGGGAUAGCCUUUCGAAAGAAAGAUUAAUACCCGAUAUAAAGGAUGGGGAUGCGUUGCAUUAGGUUGUUGGUGAGGUAACGGCUAACCAAGCCUUCGAUGGAUAGGGGUUCUGAGAGGAAGGUCCCCCACAUUGGAAAUGAGGCACGGUCCAAACUCCUACGGGAGGGAGCAGAGAGGUAGAUUGGUCAAUGGGGGGUAGCCUGACCCAGCCAAGUAGCGUGAAGGAUGAAGGCUUAUGGGUCGUAAACUUCUUUUAUAUAAGAAUAUGUAUUAUAUGAAUAAGGAUCGGCUAACUCCGUGCCAGCAGCCGCGGUAAUUC
rnacentral:rRNA from 1 species